UACAGAGGUCUCAAGCGUUGUUCGGAUUCAUUGGGCGUAAAGGGUGUGUAGGUGGCGCCGUAAGUCGGGUGUGAAAUUUCGGAGCUUAACUCCGAAACUGCAUUCGAUACUGCGGUGCUUGAGGACUGGAGAGGAGACUGGAAUUCAUGGUGUAGCAGUGAAAUGCGUAGAGAUCAUGAGGAAGACCAGUGGCGAAGGCGGCUACCUGGACCGGUACUGACGCUGAUGCGCGAAAGCUAGGGUAGCAAACAGG
rnacentral:rRNA from 1 species